UGAUAAGGAAGGGACUCAAACCCCUGUUGGUAGGGCUACAGCCUACCGCCUAAACACUCGGCCAUCUUACC
rnacentral:tRNA from 1 species